rnacentral:lncRNA from 1 species
GUGAUCUCAACAAUAAGAUCAAGAGUCAACUUCUUAUCAGGAAAAACAAUGAAAGUUGGCCCCUUGAGACUGGGUGUUAAUAAGCCUGUAGCCAUCAAUGCACACUUAGGAUGUUGCAUCCUGACUUCUGCCCUUUUAAGGUCCUGCCGCUUGUUUAGCUGACAUUUACCAUUAAGUUCAAAUGAUAUUUAAACUCAGACCAAGGCAUCUGCAUUGACUCUCCUCUAGUUGUGGGCUUCAAAGACCCACUCCUUAGUAGUCAAACCAGGGUAGAUUCUUGCCCCACCGUCUACACUUGGAAUAGUCUUUGAGAGUUAGAGGGAACUUCUCUUUAACUUUUUUAGAAAAUGACUUUAGCUUUGAUUGGUGGAAGCUAAAGUAUUUUUUUUUUUUUUGAACAAAAGAAUGUUGAAUUCACUUCAAAAUGUAAACAACCCAGGAGGCAAAAACUCAUAGAAUAAAUGAUUUAUUAGUAACUAGGACGCAAUGACUUGCUUGCCUAAACUAACUUUAUUUUUGUACAUUUAGCAGAUAAACACAUUAGUCAUGAUCAGUCGGCACUGUACAAAAGAGAGAUUGCUAAAUUAAUCAAAUCAGCCAUAAAACAAGAAAGUUUCAGGGAAUUUUCCAGGUAAAAGGAAAAGAAAUACUUGUUUUCCAUAAUGGAAAAAAAAGUGUCUAUGUGUGUGUGUAUAUAUAUAUGUGUGUGUGUGUGUGUGUGUGUGUGUGUGUGAUAUCUGACACCCUUUUGAACAUAUUUGAGUAUCCAUAAAUUUGGAGAAUAAUUGAAUAAAAAGGAAACUAAAGGUUCAAUCUGAACUCCAUCUUAGUACAAAAUCAAGUUUUCAACAUUUUAAAAUGUUCUUCUUCUAAAAGACUCCAAAUUUAGGAGAGAUCUUGGGAUGUAAAAAGAAGGAAAUAUUUUCUUCACUAUCAAAAUCAGUUCUUCCAUGUGAAAGUUCCCUAACUGGCUGAUGACUUGCUACCAGUAUUUCACUGAGUAUCUAGGAAUAAAAGUUAAAAGAGAAAAUGAUAUAUGGUGACAGGAUGCUAAAGGGGAGACAUUGGGAGAAGAGGCCUGGAUUCCUGUUCCAUCUCUGCUGAUCUCUCUGGACAGUUUCCUCAUCUGUAAAAUGUGGUUUCUAGACUGGAUGACUUUAAAUUGCUCUUGAAGUUUGGCGAAUCCAUGAGCCUAACUUGGUGGUCUAAAAGAGAUCAAAAUCCACUUAAACUUGAAGGAUGGAAUUAAAAGCAUCACAAUGGAAGAACAUGGAAUGGAUUGUUGAACAUGUAAUAUGGGGAGUGGUCGUAAGUUAUAGGAAGUGAGGAUAGAAAGGAGGCUGGGGCAAAAUUGCCAAGGUUUUUUAAUGCCAGACUAAGUAGUUCAAACUUCAUACUAUUAAUAAAGAGUAACUUUUUGUUUUUGUUUUGUUUUGUUUUUGUAAGAAAGCAACAAGAUGGCCAGGUUGUUUUUGUCAUAUCUGAAUCUUUUGCAUUCCCAGAGGGUCUGGAUCAAACAUUCUAGAGUUCCCACGUGGCUCAGAGUCUCUGUUGUGGUACAGGCUGCUCUGGCACAGGUUUGACCCCAGGCCCAGGAGUGUGAGUGUAGCCAAAAAAGCCCAGCUUCUCCAGCUCUUUCACCUAUGCUUUAGUGACCAAACACAUUAUCCCUCUGAACCUAAUGGCAGGGAGUUGAAGUUACCUGCUCAAGAUCACAGCCAAUCGGUGGCAAAACCAAGAUCUGAACCAGCUGUCUGUGAAUUUUUGCUGGCCUUCCAUACAAUUAUUACUAUUGUUUACAAAAUUGGUUUUAGUUCUGUAUCUUAAGGGUUUGUGUUAGGGUAUGACAGCACCUGGGCCCAUAUGGCGUAUUUGCAAGUCUAAGAAAAUGGGGAGAGGUAGGGCUAGAAGAGAUGGAAGACAUAUCAGAAUCUCCAGAAAGAUGAAAGGGGAGAUAUCAUUUGAAAAGUCUACUCGAUGAGUUCAAUGCUGUAGUAUAACAUCAUAAAUUUAAGAAUGAUCCAAGAUUUUCAAAAUCAAAAUAAGAAUAUGACAAAGACAAACAUUUCUGUGAUAGGUGUUCCAAUCAUGGCUCAGUGAAAACCAAUCUGACUAGUAUCCAUGAGGUUGUGGGUUUAACCCCUGGCUUCUCUCAGUGGGUUAAGGAUCCAGCAUUGCCAUGAGCUGUGGUACAAGUCACAGAUGCAACUUGGAUCCGCUUUGCUGUGGCUGUGGCAUAGGCCAGCAGCUUACAGCUCUGAUUUGACCCCUAGCCUGGGAGCCUCCAUGUGCUGCAGGUGUGGCCUUAAAAAGACCAAAAUAAUUUCUGUGAUUUAUUACUGAUUUUAUUGUACUGCCAAGGUCACUUGGAAUUGAAAUUUUAUGAGUGAUGUUAAUAUUAUAGAAAAUAAUGAGAUAUUAAGACGCUUUUCAUCAUUUUGUAGAAGGAAUUUGACUCUCCCCUACCCCACCAUCUUUUUAAUAAACUAAACAAGUCCAGGGCAUCUUGAAGAAACAUAAGAAAAAUGGACUCAUAUUAUUAAUUCACCUGAACUGAGUUUUUAAUAUUCUUUAAUUUUAUGCAGUGAGAGUAAGUUUUGUUUCUCUGAGCUUUUCAGAAAUGAGUAGCAUUCCAGCAUUGGGUGGACCCAAAGCACUUUGUUCUUGUAGUGCUCUGAAUACCAAAAUUCCUUUUCUUUUUUUUUCCAAGAUAGUUAACUCAUCAUUUGAAACAGACCUGCAAGACCACAGAUGAGCUAUAGAUGAUAAUAGGGAUCAUACACCAAAACCAGAAAGACCCAAUUACCUUAAAUAAGGUGAAAAUGUGAGAGGAGAGGCAAAAAUAAACAAAACAGUCUGUUUAGAGCCCCUUUUUAGACUGCAUUAGUUUUCCUCUUGAAAAAUGUUGCAGGUAAAUAAAAUCAGUUGUUACUGAAUAAUAAGUAUAAUACAUGCCAUUUAUUUUCAUUCCAAAGCGUUUUUUAUUGUAUCUGAAGAAUUCCACAGAGGGCCAUUAAAAAUCCAUUAUAGUGUUUUUACUUAGUGAUCUGCAUUGCUUCCCAAACCAUGGUCAUUUUAUGCCCUGUUAGACUUAUAUGCAUUUCUAUUUCUUGCCUGGUCCAAAUUCAACAUAUUUACAAAUAAUUAUUUGAGAGGGGUUUUGUUGCAUUGUUGGUCAUUUCAUAAAAGCACAACAUAGUAAAGCUUUUUAGGAAAAAUUCUCUUAGGCCAAACUCCAUUUAAACAUGAAUUUAAGGCAAGUUUUUAUUUGCAAUAAUUGAAAGAAAUACUCAUCUUUUCCACUUAGGUGUAUUUUCACCUUUAUUUCUACUUUUACUUUCAGAUAAGUACAUUUUACCCUCUCUAAACACCUUUUCUGCUGAUCUAAUUUUUCUCCUGUCCUAACAGUCUAUUAAAAGGCCCAUUAAAAUUCUCCCUUCUCCAUAAACCUUGUCUAGAUAUAGCAGUCUUUUUCUUUCCAAUAAGAUUGUGCAUCUACUGUCUUGAACUAAUACAUCUUUGGGGAGAUCAGAAAGGGAGUGUACACCUGUUGAAUGGCCAUAGUUUUUCAUGGAUUUUUCUGGGUGUUAUAUACUUUGUCUCAUUUAAUUCACUUAGCAACCAGGGAAUGAGGGAUCAUUGUGUUUGCUGUUCAUAUGAAGAAACUGGGGCAUAGUGAGUUGAAGUAACUUUCUCAAAUUCCCUCUGGUAGAAAGCAACAGAGCAUAGAUUUCAAUCUUUGUAUCUUUUGCAGCAAAAUCUGUAUUUUUUGCACUUGGGUAUCUUUCUCUAUAUGUGUGUUUAUUUCAUUUUUUUCAUCUUUCUGCCAGCAAGGACUGUACAAUGAGAAUUUUUAUCUACUAGGUACCUGUCAUAUAGCUGACCACACGAUGAGCCUCAAAUCUGCAUUUAAGUCAUUAUGUAACUCAGUUGCAAUAUUGUCUUUUAUGGUUGCUUUUCCAUUUUUACUUAUUUUAAAUGUAUAAAUUUAUAAUUGGAAAUGGUGUAUUUUUCCCUUUAAGAAAAAAAAUUCAUAUUGACAAUGAAAGCUCUUUCAAAAAAUCUUGCUAUAUAUUUUCAAAUUAGUCAUAAACAAAGAAGAUUUCUCAUGUUUCCCUCAUUUAAUUUUUAUUUCAUAUAUUUUAUUCUGCGCAUGGUUUUUAACACUUCUUAUUUUAUACAGCUUUGUGUUCUCCUAAGACCCAUUUUUUUCCUCACAUCAUUUGAAUCGUCAUUGGAAAAAAACAAAAACAAAACAAAAAAA